GGGGCUGCACUGGUUUCGACGUGGGUACGGACGCGCAGUGGGGCAUGCCGAGCUUGGAUCACGCUCGUAAAAAUCGAUUCAACAAACUAACUGCAAACGACGAACGUUUCGCACUCGCUGCUUAAUUGCCAGUGAGCUCUACAACAGCAGGCCGAUGGGCUGGGCAAGGGUGGUUUAGCAAUAAACUGUCCUGGCUGUGGAGUCAUACACAUCGGCUGGUUUGAGCCUGGGCACCUUAGGUUUGAACAAGAUAAUAGGAUGCUGGCGACCUUGGUAGCGUGCUGCUGCGCGAUCAGGGAAGCGAGACACAAAUCAGACGGCUAAGCAUGUAGAUCUACGCGAAAAAGGCUUGCGGACGGGGGUUCAAAUCCCCCCAGCUCCACCA
rnacentral:tmRNA from 1 species